rnacentral:rRNA from 1 species
UACGAGUGGUGCUAGCGUUAAUCGGAGUUACUGGGCGUAAAGGGCGCGUGGGCGGAUAGUUAAGAUUGAUGUGAAAUCCCUGGGCUUAACCUAGGAACUGCAUUGAUUACUGAUUAUCUAGAGUACUGUAGAGGGUAGUGGAAUUUCCGGUGCAGCGGUGAAAUGCGUAGAGAUCGGAAGGAACACCAGUGGCGAAGGCGGCUACCUGGACAGAUACUGACGCUGAGGCGCGAGAGCGUGGGGAGCGAACAGG